rnacentral:rRNA from 1 species
AUUAAAGCUCUCUUCGGAGAGUGCAUAAAGUGGCGCACGGGUGAGUAACACGUAAGUAAUCUACCCUCGGGUGGGGAAUAACGUCCGGAAACGGACGCUAAUACCGCAUAAUGCAGCGGCACCAAAUGGUGACAGUUGUUAAAGGCGAAAGUCGCCUGGGGAGGAGCUUGCGGCAGAUUAGCUUGUUGGUAGGGUAACGGCCUACCAAGGCGACGAUCUGUAGCCGGUCUAAGAGGACGGUCGGUCACACUGACACUGAAUAACGGGUCAGACUCCUACGGGAGGCAGCAGUCGGGAAUUUUGGGCAAUGGGCGAAAGCCUGACCCAGCAACGCCGCGUGAAGGAUGAAGUAUUUCGGUAUGUAAACUUCGUAAGAAUGGGAAGAAACAAAUGACGGUACCAUUUGUAAGCCCCGGCUAACUACGUGCCAGCAGCCGCGGUAAUACGUAGGGGGCAAGCGUUGUUCGGAUUUACUGGGCGUAAAGGGCGCGUAGGCGGCGGAACAAGUCACUUGUGAAAUCUCUGAGCUUAACUCAGAACGGCCAAGUGAUACUGUUCUGCUAGAGUGCAGAAAGGGCAAUCGGAAUUCUUGGUGUAGCGGUGAAAUGCGUAGAUAUCAAGAGGAACACCUGAGGCGAAGGCGGGUUGCUAGGCUGACACUGACGCUGAGGCGCGAAAGCUAGGGGAGCAAACGGGAUUAGAUACCCCGGUAGUCCUAGCCCUAAACGAUGAAUGCUUGGUGUCUGGAG